GGCAAAGAUGACAAAUGCUACUUCUUACACCUCUUGUAUGAGAACAACUUGACCUAGGUUGUUCUUUGAGCACAGAUUCAGCAACUCGCUGAGCC